rnacentral:rRNA from 1 species
UACGUAGGGUGCGAGCGUUAAUCGGAAUUACUGGGCGUAAAGCGUGCGCAGGCGGUUCGCUGUGUCCUGUGUGAAAGCCCCGGGCUUAACCUGGGAAUGGCAUGGGAAACUGGCGGGCUGGAGUGUGGCAGAGGGGGUGGAAUUCCGCGUGUAGCAGUGAAAUGCGUAGAGAUGCGGAGGAACACCGAUGGCGAAGGCAGCCCCCUGGGCUAACACUGACGCUCAGGCACGAAAGCUAGGGGAGCAAACAGG